GUUAGUUUUACCCUACUGGUAGGGAACUCUUUACGAACUGGGGUUGGAUUAUUCACCCACCAACAAGGAACGUGAGCUGGGUUUAGACCGUCGUGAGACAGGUU
rnacentral:rRNA from 1 species